rnacentral:rRNA from 1 species
ACAGAGGGUGCAAGCGUUAAUCGGAAUUACUGGGCGUAAAGCGCGCGUAGGCGGCUUGACAAGUCGAGUGUGAAAUCCCCGGGCUUAACCUGGGAGCUGCAUUCGAAACUGUCUUGCUAGAGUAUGGGAGAGGGAGGUGGAAUUUCAGGUGUAGCGGUGAAAUGCGUAGAUAUCAGGAGGAACACCGGUGGUGUAGGCGGCUUGCUGGACCAUAACUGACGCUGAGGCACGAAAGCGUGGGGAGCAAACAGGA